rnacentral:tRNA from 1 species
GUCCAGGGUAGCCUAGUGGACAUGGCAUCUGCCCGGUAAGCGGAACACUGUGGGUUCGAUUCCCAUACCUGGACA